rnacentral:lncRNA from 1 species
CACAAGUGUGCCUAGAGGCUUCAAAGAACAGCAAAGAGGCAGCCUGGCUGCAGCAGGAGAGAGAGGACAGCAUAACAGGAGGAUCACUGGCUGCUGGGGUGAGAUGGAAGCAGGGAAGAUGGAUAAGAGACUCCCACAAUAAUCCAGGCAAGAGAUGAAGGAGUCUUGGUCCAGGAUGGUAACAGUGGAGGGGAAUGAUUAUUUCGGACUCUGAGUCUUGGAUGGUCGUCUCUACAAGCUCCCAAAGGAAAACACCCAUGUGGUUUUUGCCUGCUUGAGGUAAAUACCACCUUAGGCCAACUACCCCAUCUGUAAACUGGGAAUAACACCAGAUUGCAGGGAUGUUGAGGAGGGUUAAUUAUAUACAGAGUGUCUAAGGGUUGAGCAGAUACACAAGUGCUCUGGAAGUUCUUGGCAUAAUACUAUAGCAUUACAAUAAUUCUGGCUUGCAAAUUAUACCCCAGCAGAGGUAUCACAUGGAAAAGUGGAUCCGACUCUACGGCCUGAUGAAAGUGACAUGGAAAAAAUAAGUUAUGAAAUAUAACUUCUCUUCCUGAACUUUUGGAAAAGGCAGAGAUAACCUUUCCAUGUGCAAGACACAUGCAGGGAGCAAGCUUCCAGAUUCUGGUGAGGACUUUCUUGUCUCAGGUGGCCUGGCCUAUUGCCAGGAUCUGAGCCCAGAAGUAGAAAUGGGAAGGAAGGGAGCUGGGGAGGAUUUGUGGUUGGAUGAAAGGUGGGGCUUAAAACAAGGAUGUCCUUGCCUUUCAGGUUUUCUACUGGGGCCUCCUUACGUGCAAGAUAAUUAAGUGCCAAUGCGACAGAGGAACAAUUUAAAGGGUAACGGAGAUACUUAAGUCUAGGUAUAUUCAAAAUAAACAUCCUAGCCAGGUCAACUUCUGGGUCCUCUCUGCAUGCCCCAGACACAUCACAUCUCUCUCUCUCUCUCUCUCUCUCUCUCUCUCUCUCUCACACACACACACACACACACACACACACACAUCCCUUAGAUUAUUUCCUGUGAAAUGCUAAGUAAAUAGAUCUCAGGCAAUGAAGAUGCUCUGUAGCUGGUGAUAGUAUCUGCGACUGUGAGACGUCACAUAGUGGGUUUGGAAAAUUCAACUGGCCACAGAGGAUGACAGUUUUGUCUGACCAAGGAGGGAAAGGGCAAAUAGCUUGAUUCUGGAAUAACAAAUUUGAAGUCAAUUUCACUUUACCACUGUGUAUGGCUGAGCAGACAGAGGUCAGCUUCAGGAUAAGACCGAGUUCAAGUCCUGCUUCUAUCACUUCUGUGCUGUGGCCUCAGGCAUGAGUCUGGGUGGGUUACAGAGAGGAAGCAGUAACAGCUCUCAGGCCUUCCCUGUCCAAAUGUCUCAGAUUGAAAUCUGAGUUUGACCUCUACUUCCAGCGUGGCCAGAACUAUGAUGUGAUCAAAAGAGCCCCUGGCCUUGCUGUCUGCCCUCACAGUUCCCACUGUUACUACAGGAUAUGGGAAAAACAGACUCCCCCAAAGCACAUCUAUAACAGACAGACAGCAAAUGCAGAUUAUUGAUUUGGGCUAUUGUUUUAGUAAAUCAACAUUCUUAGAGAAUUUCUCAGCUCUCAGGUGCCCACAUCUUAGAGUUAAGUCACAUUUUGAGGGUUGCCCAGGCAAAUUCAAAGCAGCACCAGGCCCUAGUGGCAGCUACUUCAUCUUUAGGCAGCAUUUCCCUCUCAACAGGGAGCAUGCCACCUCCCCUGGGUGCAGAUCCCAGGAAAAGUUACACUGACCAAAUCAGGCCACUCCCUGGGACUGUUUCCUCAAUUUUGGUUAAUAAUCAAAGGAUGAUCUGAAAUCGCAAAGAAGAGACUCUUGGAAAAGACAUAAUUAUGGUGCCACCCGACUUAGGAACUGGCAUCCAAGUCCACCUGUGUGACUUUCCUCUGGGCCUCAGUUUCUCCAUCUGUAAAAUGAGGUCCUGUAUUUAUUUUUUGAGACGGAAUCUCCCUCUG